rnacentral:rRNA from 1 species
CUGAUACUGGCAAGCUUGAGUCUCGUAGAGGGGGGUAGAAUUCCAGGUGUAGCGGUGAAAUGCGUAGAGAUCUGGAGGAAUACCGGUGGCGAAGGCGGCCCCCUGGACGAAGACUGACGCUCAGGUGCGAAAGCGUGGGGAGCAAACAGGAUUAGAUACCCUGGUAGUCCACGCCGUAAACGAUGUCGACUUGGAGGUUGUGCCCUUGAGGCGUGGCUUCCGGAGCUAACGCGUUAAGUCGACCGCCUGGGGAGUACGGCCGCAAGGUUAAAACUCAAAUGAAUUGACGGGGGCCCGCACAAGCGGUGGAGCAUGUGGUUUAAUUCGAUGCAACGCGAAGAACCUUACCUGGUCUUGACAUCCACGGAAGUUUUCAGAGAUGAGAAUGUGCCUUCGGGAACCGUGAGACAGGUGCUGCAUGGCUGUCGUCAGCUCGUGUUGUGAAAUGUUGGGUUAAGUCCCGCAACGAGCGCAACCCUUAUCCUUUGUUGCCAGCGGUCCGGCCGGGAACUCAAAGGAGACUGCCAGUGAUAAACUGGAGGAAGGUGGGGAUGACGUC